GCCGCGAUAGCUCAGCUGGUAGAUCAUCUGCCCGGUAUGCGGAGGUUCGCCGGUUCGUUCCGACUCGCGGCG
rnacentral:tRNA from 1 species